ACCUGAAUGGCUCAGUCGGAAGAGCGUGUGAUUCUUGAUCUUGGGGUCAUGUGUUCAAGCCCCAUUUGGGGUG
rnacentral:tRNA from 1 species